GCCCAGGUGGCGGAAUUGGUAGACGCACUAGGUUCAGGUCCUAGCGCCCGUAAGGGUGUGGAAGUUCGAGUCUUCUCUUGGGCACCA
rnacentral:tRNA from 1 species